UACGUAGGGUGCGAGCGUUGUCCGGAAUUAUUGGGCGUAAAGGGCUCGUAGGCGGUCUGUUGCGUCAGGAGUGAAAACUCGGGGCUUAACCCCGAGCCUGCUUCUGAUACGGGCAGACUAGAGGUAUGCAGGGGAGAACGGAAUUCCUGGUGUAGCGGUGAAAUGCGCAGAUAUCAGGAGGAACACCGGUGGCGAAGGCGGAUCUCUGGGCCAUUACUGACGCUGAGGAGCGAAAGCGUGGGGAGCGAACAGG
rnacentral:rRNA from 1 species